CCUACGGGAGGCAGCAGUGGGGAAUAUUGGACAAUGGGGGGAACCCUGAUCCAGCGACGCCGCGUGAGUGAAGAAGUAUUUCGGUAUGUAAAGCUCUAUCAGCAGGGAAGAAAGAAAUGACGGUACCUGACGAAGAAGCCCCGGCUAACUACGUGCCAGCAGCCGCGGUAAUACGUAGGGGGCAAGCGUUAUCCGGAUUUACUGGGUGUAAAGGGAGCGUAGACGGCGAUGCAAGUCUGAAGUGAAAGGCGGGGGCCCAACCCCCGGACUGCUUUGGAAACUGUAUGGCUGGAGUGCAGGAGAGGUAAGUGGAAUUCCUAGGGUAGCGGUGAAAUGCGUAGAUAUUAGGAGGAACACCAGUGGCGAAGGCGGCUUACUGGACUGUAACUGACGUUGAGGCUCGAAAGCGUGGGGAGCAAACAGGAUUAGAUACCCUAGUAGUC
rnacentral:rRNA from 1 species